CCUAGCGGCCUUAGCGCGGUGGUCCCACCUGACCCCAUGCCGAACUCAGAAGUGAAACGCCGUAGCGCCGAUGGUAGUGUGGGGUCUCCCCAUGCGAGAGUAGGGAACUGCCAGGC
rnacentral:rRNA from 3 species